rnacentral:rRNA from 1 species
GUGGGGAAUUUUGGACAAUGGGCGCAAGCCUGAUCCAGCAAUGCCGCGUGCAGGAAGAAGGCCUUCGGGUUGUAAACUGCUUUUGUACGGAACGAAAAGACUCCUUCUAAUAAAGGGGGUCCAUGACGGUACCGUAAGAAUAAGCACCGGCUAACUACGUGCCAGCAGCCGCGGUAAUACGUAGGGUGCAAGCGUUAAUCGGAAUUACUGGGCGUAAAGCGUGCGCAGGCGGUUAUAUAAGACAGAUGUGAAAUCCCCGGGCUCAACCUGGGAACUGCAUUUGUGACUGUAUAGCUAGAGUACGGUAGAGGGGGAUGGAAUUCCGCGUGUAGCAGUGAAAUGCGUAGAUAUGCGGAGGAACACCGAUGGCGAAGGCAAUCCCCUGGACCUGUACUGACGCUCAUGCACGAAAGCGUGGGGAGCAAACAGGAUUAGAAACCCCGGUAGUCC